rnacentral:rRNA from 1 species
GACGAACGCUGGCGGCGUGCUUAACACAUGCAAGUCGAACGGAAAGGCCCUGCUUUUGUGGGGUGCUCGAGUGGCGAACGGGUGAGUAACACGUGAGUAACCUGCCCUUGACUUUGGGAUAACUUCAGGAAACUGGGGCUAAUACCGGAUAGGAGCUCCUGCUGCAUGGUGGGGGUUGGAAAGUUUCGGCGGUUGGGGAUGGACUCGCGGCUUAUCAGCUUGUUGGUGGGGUAGUGGCUUACCAAGGCCUUGACGGGUAGCCGGCCUGAGAGGGUGACCGGCCACAUUGGGACUGAGAUACGGCCCAGACUCCUACGGGAGGCAGCAGUGGGGAAUAUUGCACAAUGGGCGGGAGCCUGAUGCAGCAACGCCGCGUGCGGGAUGACGGCCUUCGGGUUGUAAACCGCUUUCGCCUGUGACGAAGCGUGAGUGACGGUAAUGGGUAAAGAAGCACCGGCUAACUACGUG